AUCCUUUUAUAGUUCAUAAGCAUGACGAUGGGGUGUUCGUGCUUUUGUGUGACAUGCACCUCCCUCAAACCUUGUUAAAACUUCAGGCGUGACCCAUCUGACU